rnacentral:rRNA from 1 species
GACGAACGCUGGCGGCGUGCUUUACACAUGCAAGUCGAACGGUGAAGGUGGAGCUUGCUCCGCCGGAUCAGUGGCGAACGGGUGAGUAACACGUGGGCAACCUGCCCCUAACUUUGGGAUAACUACUCGAAAGAGUAGCUAAUACCGGAUAUGAAGUCUGUAGGCAUCUAUGGAUUUAGAAAGUUUUUCGGUUAGGGAUGGGCCCGCGGCCUAUCCGCAUGUUGGUGAGGUAGUGGCUCACCAAGGCGACGACGGGUAGCCGGCCUGAGAGGGCGACCGGCGACACUGGGAGUGAGACACGGCCCGGACUCCUACGGGGGGCAGCAGUGGGGAAUGUUGCGCAAUGGGCGAAAGCCUGGCGCAGCAACGCCGCGUGCGGGAUGAAGGCCUUCGGGUUGUAAACCGCUGUCAGCAGGGAAGAAGCGAAAGUGACGGUACCUGCAGAAGAAGCACCGGCUAACUACGUGCCAGCCGCCGCCGUAA